UCACCAACCUCGUUCCCAGUGCUUUUCCCUUUACAAAAAGGGAAAAGCCCUGGGAACGAGGUUGG